ensembl:ncRNA lncRNA:CR43810 long non-coding RNA:CR43810
UUUCCUUCAAAAAAUUCAAAUUGAAGUAAUGAUAUUCAGGAAUUUCGAUUUGCUUUAUAAUUUAUGACGUAGUUUACUCGUUUCUUUCGUAAUUUGGGACCAUGCCAUCAUUAUUUUUCAUUGACACCCCGAGGGCAUAAUAAUUGUCAGUGGAUGGUCAACUUUUCUUCAUGUUUCAACCGCAAAAACCUGACAGGCGAACAACAAAUCGAAUUAGAUAAUGAACAUCCGACACCCCCUGGGCCCGCAAGGGUUAACCGCAAGGGCAGUGGCUGUAGCUGGGGCUAGGGAAGGUUAAGGCCAGGCCAAUGCCGCAGGACAAACAAAAGGCAAAAACAUUUUAAUGAGCGCAGAUGAGAUGACAAAGCCACGGGGAAAACUGGCAAAGGGGAUGGUGAAUGGAAAUGGGUAUGGGGUCAGGGAAUAACAAUGCUGAUUACAUGCAAAU